rnacentral:rRNA from 1 species
ACGGGUGAGUAACACGUGGGCAACCUGCCCUUGAGACUGGGAUAACUUCGGGAAACCGGAGCUAAUACCGGAUAAUAUAAGGAACCUCCUGGUUCCUUGUUGAAAGAUGGUUUCGGCUAUCACUUAAGGAUGGGCCCGCGGCGCAUUAGCUAGUUGGUGAGGUAACGGCUCACCAAGGCGACGAUGCGUAGCCGACCUGAGAGGGUGAUCGGCCACACUGGGACUGAGACACGGCCCAGACUCCUACGGGAGGCAGCAGUAGGGAAUCUUCCACAAUGGACGAAAGUCUGAUGGAGCAACGCCGCGUGAGUGAUGAAGGCCUUCGGGUCGUAAAGCUCUGUUGUUAGGGAAGAACAGGUGCGAGAGUAACUGCUCGCACCUUGACGGUACCUAACCAGAAAGCCACGGCUAACUACGUGCCAGCAGCCGCGGUAAUACGUAGGUGGCAAGCGCUAUCCGGAAUUAUUGGGCGUAAAGCGCGCGCAGGUGGUUUCUUAAGUCUGAUGUGAAAGCCCACGGCUCAACCGUGGAGGGUCAUUGGAAACUGGGGAACUUGAGUGCAGAAGAGGAAAGUGGAAUUCCAA